rnacentral:rRNA from 1 species
UACGGGGGGGGCAAGCGUUGUUCGGAAUACUGGGCGUAAAGGGCUCGUAGGCGGCCAACUAAGUCAGACGUGAAAUCCCUCGGCUUAACCGGGGAACUGCGUCUGAUACUGGAUGGCUUGAGUUCGGGAGAGGGAUGCGGAAUUCCAGGUGUAGCGGUGAAAUGCGUAGAUAUCUGGAGGAACACCGGUGGCGAAGGCGGCAUCCUGGACCGACACUGACGCUGAGGAGCGAAAGCCAGGGGAGCAAACGGG